UAAACACCAUCCGGGAGCUUGAGCAGUCAGGCUGAGAGUGCGGGAUAUGCCGCUGACCGUCCGAUCUGAUCUAGUUAAUGCUAGCGCAGAGAAUGAUUAUACACUACAA
rnacentral:ncRNA from 1 species